rnacentral:rRNA from 1 species
AGAGAGAGACAUGCGCGCAUAUCAAUAAGCGGAGGAAAAGAAACUAACAAGGAUUCCCCUAGUAACGGCGAGUGAAGCGGGAAGAGCUCAAAUUUGAAAUCUUAAAGGGUUUCCCUUUACGAAUUGUAGUUUAAAGAAGUGUUUUCUGUUGAGGUUUUGGUAAAAGUUCUUUGGAAUAGGACAUCAUAGAGGGUGAGAAUCCCGUAUUUGACCUUUACUUUCAACUUUGUGAUACACUUUCAAAGAGUCGGAUUGUUUGGGAAUGCAGUCCAAAAUGGGUGGUAAAUUUCAUCUAAAGCUAAAUAUUGGCGAGAGACCGAUAGCGAACAAGUACCGUGAGGGAAAGAUGAAAAGAACUUUGAAAAGAGAGUUAAACAGUACGUGAAAUUGUCAAAAGGGAAGCGUUUGACACCAGUGUUGUUUUUCUGAAAAUCAAUUAAAGAACUGUUUAUGCUAAGUUGUUUAGACUUUAUCAGCUAUCUGUUUAGUUUUGAGCUUUUCUUUAAUGCACUUUUCAGUUAACAAGUCAACAUCAAUUUCUUUUGCUGUAAAAAAGCUUGAGGAAGGUGGCUUGAGAUUCGUCUUAAGUGUUUAUAGCCUCUUGCCUAUGCAGUCGGAGAGAUUGAGGUCUGCAGCGUAGAUCCUUCGGGGCUAAAUGCAUUUGUGCUAGUUAUAGCAUUUUAUAGACAACUUGUUGACUAUGAUUUGUCUUGUAGCUUACUCGCUUAUGUUAUUUUACCUACGCUUAGGAUGUUGACGCAUGAGAUAUACGC